GAUGAACGCUAGCUACAGGCUUAACACAUGCCAGUCGCGGGGCAGCAUGGGGGUUGCUUGCAAUCCCCGAUGGCGACCGGCGCACGGGUGAGUAACGCGUAUCCAACCUGCCCUUCACCACGGGAUAACCCGGCGAAAGUCGGACUAAUACCGUAUGUUGUCCAUUGACGGCCUCCGAUUUGGACGAAAGGUUUGGCGGUGAAGGAUGGGGAUGCGUCCGAUUAGCUGGACGGCGGGGUGACGGCCCACCGUGGCGACGAUCGGUAGGGGUUCUGAGAGGAAGGUCCCCCACACUGGAACUGAGACACGGUCCAGACUCCUACGGGAGGCAGCAGUGAGGAAUAUUGGUCAAUGGGCGUAAGCCUGAACCAGCCAAGUAGCGUGCAGGAUGACGGCCCUAUGGGUUGUAAACUGCUUUUAUGCGGGGAUAAAGUGGCCCACGUGUGGGUUUUUGCAGGUACCGCAUGAAUAAGGACCGGCUAAUUCCGUG
rnacentral:rRNA from 1 species